rnacentral:rRNA from 1 species
UACGAAGGGGGCGAGCGUUGUUCGGAUUUACUGGGCGUAAAGAGCGUGUAGGCGGCCAAACAGGUCAGCUGUGAAAACUCGAGGCUCAACCUCGAGACGUCGGUUGAAACCGUUUGGCUAGAGUCCGGAAGAGGAGAGUGGAAUUCCCGGUGUAGCGGUGAAAUGCGCAGAUAUCGGGAAGAACACCCGUGGCGAAGGCGGCUCUCUGGGACGGUACUGACGCUGAGACGCGAAAGCGUGGGGAGCGAACAGG